GAUGAACGCUGGCGGCGUGCCUAAUACAUGCAAGUCGAGCGAAUGGAUUAAGAGCUUGCUCUUAUGAAGUUAGCGGCGGACGGGUGAGUAACACGUGGGUAACCUGCCCAUAAGACUGGGAUAACUCCGGGAAACCGGGGCUAAUACCGGAUAACAUUUUGAACCGCAUGGUUCGAAAUUGAAAGGCGGCUUCGGCUGUCACUUAUGGAUGGACCCGCAUCGGAUUAGCUAGUUGGUGAGGUAACGGCUCACCAAGGCAACGAUGCGUAGCCGACCUGAGAGGGUGAUCGGCCACACUGGGACUGAGACACGGCCCAGACUCCUACGGGAGGCAGCAGUAGGGAAUCUUCCGCAAUGGACGAAAGUCUGACGGAGCAACGCCGCGUGAGUGAUGAAGGCUUUCGGGUCGUAAAACUUUGUUGUUAGGGAAGAACAAGUGCUAGUUGAAUAAGCUGGCACCUUGACGGUACCUAACCAGAAAGCCACGGCUAACUACGUGCCAGCCGCCGCGGUAA
rnacentral:rRNA from 1 species